rnacentral:lncRNA from 1 species
CCCAGCAUGGGGAGCCCCAGCGCCCCGACCCCUCGGGAUACGGGCUGCGCCGGGCCUUGGCUGAGCGUCCCCGGAAGGAUCAGCGGCCGCCCCUCCCUCACCACAGGGGAGGAACGGUGGUUGCCCUCAGACCCGUGCAGGGCUUGGUAG